UGCCAGCCGCCGCGGUAAUACGGAGGGUGCGAGCGUUAAUCGGAAUCACUGGGCGUAAAGCGUACGUAGGUGGCAAAGUCAGUCGGAUGUGAAAUCCCCGGGCUUAACCUGGGAACUGCAUUCGAUACUGCAGAACUAGAGUAUGGUAGAGGGAAGUGGAAUUUCCGGUGUAGCGGUGAAAUGCGUAGAUAUCGGAAGGAACACCAGUGGCGAAGGCGACUUCCUGGGCCAAUACUGACGCUGAGGUGCGAAAGCGUGGGGUAGCGAACGGGAUUAGAUA
rnacentral:rRNA from 1 species